rnacentral:rRNA from 1 species
CGCUCCUUGAUUUUAAUUGAUAAGGAGUCGGACCUGCCCAGUGAUAAGUAUUUAACGGCCGCGGUACUCUGACCGUGCAAAGGUAGCAUAAUCAUUUGCCCUAUAAUUGAGGGCUAGUAUGAAUGGUUUGACAAGAACAAUACUGUCUCUUUCAAAAUUUCUAGAAUUUAUUCUUUAGGUGAAGAAACCUAAAUGAAAUUAAAAGACAAGAAGACCCUAUCGAGCUUAAACUCUUUUUAUAAAAUAAAAAAAAUUAAUAAUAUUUUUUGUUAUAAAAAAUUUUGGUUGGGGCGACUAAGGAACAAAAAAAGCUUCUUUAUUUAAUAAAGACAAAUGUGUAUUGAUCCAUAAAAUCUUGAUUAAAAGAAUUAGUUACCGUAGGGAUAACAGCAUAAUCUUUUUUAAGAGUUCUUAUCGAAAAAAAGGUUUGUGACCUCGAUGUUGGACUAAAAUUUCCUAAUAGAUGCAGACGUCUUUAAGGG